rnacentral:rRNA from 1 species
UACGUAGGGUGCAAGCGUUGUCCGGAAUUAUUGGGCGUAAAGAGCUCGUAGGCGGUCUGUCGCGUCUGCUGUGAAAACUCGGGGCUUAACCCCGGGCCUGCAGUGGGUACGGGCAGACUAGAGUGCGGUAGGGGGGACUGGAAUUCCUGGUGUAGCGGUGAAAUGCGCAGAUAUCAGGAGGAACACCGGUGGCGAAGGCGGGUCUCUGGGCCGUAACUGACGCUGAGGAGCGAAAGCAUGGGGAGCGAACAGG